AUCUUGAGUAGUAAAUGUUGUACAGUAAACUUAAAGAAUUUUGGCGGUUUUAAUUACCUAAUCAGAGGAACUUGUUCUGUAAUCGAUAAUCCACGUUUUACUUUACCUUUAAAUUUUAAUGGUUUGAAUACCACUGUUUUUAAUUUUUUAGUUAUAUAAAAUUAUUUAUUUAUAAAAUAAGAAAUACAAGUCAAGGUUCAGCUUAAAAAGGAAUGAAAUGAGUUACAAUAUAAGUAUUUAUUGGAUUUCUUUUCUAAUUGAUUAGUAUGAUAUUGGAUUUGAUAGUAAUUUGUGAUUAAUAUGCAUUAAUGAAUUAAGUUUAUUAAAAUGU
rnacentral:rRNA from 1 species